UUGCCUUUUUCUUUUUCUUUUCCAGGUAACUUUCUUACGCUUAUUCAGCUAGGUGGGGCAUUGUUUACAAAGCCAAAAUCAUCGAAGGGAUGAACUAACGAAGAGGAAAGAAAGGGAAGUUUUCUAUCCAAAUAAGAGAACAACAAAACCACUCAAAAUUCACCUGGAAGUGGUUUUUGGGCAGAAUUAGGGGGUGUUUAGUUGUGUAGAUAACUAGUUACUUAAAGAAAAUGUAUCCUCUUAACUGUUGGUGAUUUGAAUUGAAUUCCCACCUGAUAAUUGUUAGGUUUCAACAUUAAAAGAAGAAGAAGAAGAAGACGAGGAAGAAAAAUUGUUAGAGGUCUCUACCAUUCAUAUUUUUAGUGUAAAACAUGCUUUAUGAGAAUGUGACAGCGAGUGACAACCCACAUUUUGUCUUUCUAUGAUCGCGCCUUCUGCAACUAAGUGACAUGGCAGAAUCGGAGGGGAUGAAAGAGAUAAUGACUACAACACUUGCACCACACUAUGAUAUUGUAUAAAGCAUAAAGUGCAAAUAGUAAAUCAAAGCAAUUCUUUUCGACAAAGUCAAAUUAAAUUCAGGUACAUCAUUAUAUGUUCUUUUCCUUUCAUAUUAAGUAGACUUGUACCAGUUUUGAUAGUUUUAAUUUGUGUUGUCAGCAGAAAUCCAUAUUCUUUUCAUACGUUUGUGAGGUGCUGAGAUAAUGUUAUGAUGAAGUUGUAGUGUACUUUUGUCUCUCAUCAAUUGAAUUCUAAUCCAUAUGACCACACCAUGCUUUUUUUUUUUUUUUUUAAAUGAAAGAAAU